rnacentral:rRNA from 1 species
AGUGAGCGCUGGCGGUAGGCCUAACACAUGCAAGUCGAACGGCAGCACAGUAAGAGCUUGCUCUUACGGGUGGCGAGUGGCGGACGGGUGGGGAAUACAUCGGAAUCUACUUUUUCGUGGGGGAUAACGUAGGGAAACUUACGCUAAUACCGCAUACGACCUACGGGUGAAAGCGGGGGAUCUUCGGACCUUGCGCGAUUGAAUGAGCCGAUGUCGGAUUAGCUAGUUGGCGGGGUAAAGGCCCACCAAGGCGACGAUCCGUAGCUGGUCUGAGAGGAUGAUCAGCCACACUGGAACUGAGACACGGUCCAGACUCCUACGGGAGGCAGCAGUGGGGAAUAUUGGACAAUGGGCGCAAGCCUGAUCCAGCCAUACCGCGUGGGUGAAGAAGGCCUUCGGGUUGUAAAGCCCUUUUGUUGGGAAAGAAAAGCAGCAGGUUAAUACCCCGCUGUUCUGACGGUACCCAAAGAAUAAGCACCGGCUAACUUCGUG